UUGGNGAGGCUUUAGCUUAAUUAAAGUACCUGGGUUGCAUUCAGGAGAUGUGUUUAGAGUUUCACAGGU
rnacentral:tRNA from 2 species